rnacentral:misc_RNA from 1 species
GGUCACUCUGCUAUUUAACUUUACGUUGUAGCUCCCUUUCUCAUUUCGGAAACGAAAUGAGAACCGUUGCUACAAUAAGGCCGUCUGAAAAGAUGUGCCGCAACGCUCUGCCCCUUAAAGCUCCUGCUUUAAGGGGCAUCGUUUAUC